UCCACAUCACCAUCUGUUGCAGAGAACUCCAGAGUUAACUGCAGACCAAAAGUCUGCUCAAAAUAUUUUGGACCAGAUUCUGGUCCCAGUUCACCCAGUGCAAAUCCAGAGCAUCUCCACGGAGGUGAGAGCCUGAUUGCUGAAGCCAGGUAAAUAGGAAGGCUGCCGAGAGAUGUGCAGCUGGAAGGAUGGAAGUACUGUUUGCCAAGGAAAGCAGCCAUUCAAAUCACCACUGUGGCAGGGGAUCUGGGAUGGCCACCAAGAGGAGCACAGAUGAUGGGGACUGGGGAACAAGCCCUCUCCGAAAGUAGGCACCUGAACCAAACUUUUCAAAGAGAAAGCUUACCUGCGAGGUGGACUCCGUGGUCCAGCCAUGCUGAGAUUGGAUCUCUAGGCUGCAGCCUGCCUGUUUCCCAGUCAUGUUAACUCUGCAGGCCCAGCUGUAUUUGGCACCUGCAAGACACUUUGCUCUGACAGCCCCUCACCAGAGGUUGAUUCAAGUGACUCAAAACAGCUUUUCCAAAACAAAUAUAUGGUUUAUGCACCCAACUAGCCAUCAAAGUGUAAAAUAAGACCAGUUUAUAUGCAUCUAGGCUGAGUUAAAUGUUAUCCUUUCCUUGCAAGUUUAGGAAGUUUCUGUUUAACCCAGACACACCCACUCCUAGCCUGGGACAGACAUGCUACCUUUCUCUAUGCCUGAGUCUCUCUCCCACAGCAUCUCUCCCAAGCAGCUCGUGUCCAUUGGACCCACUCUUCCUCUCUAGGCAGGGAUUUUCAAUGAUUUAGAUCUUAGGACGUAGCCUUCGAAAAAUAUGUCUGUUAACCUGGCUGGAGCCAGGCACAUUGGAAAAUCUUUAAUAGCCCACCCACUGUUCUCUUAAGAACCCUGGUUGUUUCCCCUAAAUAUAUCAUGUCUCUGUUA